rnacentral:misc_RNA from 1 species
UAAUAAGUGUUUUAUGGCACUUUUUAAAUCCAUAUCCACCUUGUGUGCAAUGUCAGUCGAUCUUCUUCAUGGAGAUCGGCCAAACAUCAACCUUUAUUUUUUAACUCUUUGUCUGAAAAAUAUUAUGAAUAAACAAUUCAAAAUA